ACAUGGAGUAAAAUUAUUAUGAAUAGGAAAAUAAAUACAUUUCUGAAAUUGCAUCCUACCUUAAUAGCGAGUUGCACACUAGUAGCCGGCAUUUUGGCGGUUUGUGUGGAAUGAAAAAAAUAAUCUGCUAAUGUCUUUUAUCGUGUAAAUGACAUAGAUUUGCUUGAAAUGGGUUCAUAGAAUCAACCAAUAGGUAGUUAGAUCUACGCAAAAAAAACCUCGACAUUUUCAAGUUACGGAUUUGUCGUGAAAGCCCCGGUAAGAAGACGGCGCGUGGACAGCAGAUAUAGGAAGUUACAAUUCGACAAGGACGAGAACAACUUGUCUACCGUUUCGUAUGUGAAUAUUUGUUUUUUUGAAUCAACUUGUUUUGGAAACCUGGUGGGAAAGAAGCCUUCCUUGUUGUCAACUAUAGAGCUGUACAGCAUAGAAAUGACCGGACCGUAAUGUCAGUGGUUGCAUGCUGAUUGGAGGAGGGCAGUGCCAGUGUCAGCCAGCAGGAUGAGUGUGUCUGACGGUGUGACGAGAACAACCAGCUUGGGCAUGGAUCAAUUACAGCAACGGCAGACCGUCUUUCUCCAGAUCUACCCGCGUCUGCCCCAGGACACCGCUGCAUGUUGUACCCUCCAGGUCAGCCCUUGGGCCACGGCCGCUACGGUUAUCCAGAACGCAGGGGCCACGCUGGGCCUGGACAUGACCCGACACUACGCCCUCUUGGAGGUCAGGCAGGAUGGAGGGGCUGAGAGGAUGCUAAGGCACUCUGAGAUU